GUGGAGUUCAAUCUCUCCAUGUCUUCAUCAGUGCUCCAUCCAUGAUGCUGAACACUGACUUGGGCCCUGAAGUACUUUAAAUAAAGAUAUACGGAUUGCUGUAUAGAUGAUUAAACAAAGGAAUCAGGGUCCCUGUUUGGAGUUAAUCUGUGGGAAAAAGUGUAGGAACAUCCUGAUGAAGUUAUUGCUGUCAGGAGGAGCAUCAUGAGAGAGGGAAGGCAAAGAUCAUUUCACAUCUGCAUCUCGUCUACAUGCAGACAGACAGAGAGAGAGAGAGAGAGAGAGAGAGAGAGAGAGAGAGAGAGAGAGAGAGAGAGAGAGAGAGAGAGACCACUCCCUCAUUCGCCUUUCAUUGAAAGAGAAACAGCGCCACCCAUGUGUCAGUUGCAACAGCUUGCACUUUAAAUUGUUACAGGACAGACCUUGUCAACAAUCUUUCUUGGCUCACUGAGAUCUCAGUACGUUUGCACUUCCCUUUAUUUCUUUUCUGCAAUUAUACACGCAUAACAUUUCCUAUAUGAUCUAUGUUCUUUUGAGAGCAGAAAUGAAUGCAGAACGAAUCCAUAACCACAGAUUCUUGAUGGUGGACCAAUGUAAUGGUUUAUGAAUUAGACUUGAAAACAGUGGUCAACCACUAAUCGGAACACUCCGGGUGCCCAGAAAACAUUCAUGGGAACGUUAUUCAGGGAAAAUGCCUCCAAAUGAAAGGGAUUAAGGUGCGAGGAGUUACUACGGAAAGUGUGAUGAUAAAGUUGUAAACCGACAUGAAGACAUUAAACUCAUUGUAUGUCCAGAAGUGGUGCAUAAAUGACUAAAGGGGAAACAGCGGUAUGGUUCUGCAUAGAGGAAUAUUUUCCUUUUCUUGGUCUGUACUGGGCCUUGUAUGAGCGGGAAUAGGCUAGUCAUGGAGGGAACGUUCAGGGUGGUCCCUGGGUAAACCAAGAUUUAAAAAAAAACUACUGUGGUACAGUAAUGAGUGAGUGAGCGAGUGAGUGAGAAAGUGUAAAUUUUGAUGUUUUGUUUUGGGUCAAAACAGUUGCUUGGGCAACCGAGAGAAAGGGGUGUGCUUUUCGCCCCUGAAUCAGGGUUUUAUUUCUCCUUGAAAAUUUAAGGCAGGAGACCGUUUUGUUGGCUUGAACUCAUCAAGUAUUUUCCACUGAUCUCAUGCUCUUGCUUCUUUACUUUUCCUUCCGUUGAAGAAAGGAAAAAAUCAUUUUGAACUGUAAGGCGGAGAGAAAAUCCAUCUGCUAAUAAUCAGGAUUUAAUAGGGAGGCUUAUUGUAAAUCUGCGUAGAAUCUGACAGCUGCGCUGGUCCGUCCAGCCUGGACGUUAGGGGUUUGAUUCACUAUGUAUGAGAAACAAGCAUACUGUGAGACUAAUCAUAUUGAGUGUGUGAUUCAAUGUAAGAGUUAAGACAAACCUGUAUAACGACAUGGAAGAGACAAAGAUCAAAGUUAGGGGUGGACAGAGAGGUCAAAAGUCAGGGUGCUUAAAUGAAUGUUAUGCUGACCCUGACCGGGCAAGGAGGGGUUAAAAUAGACCUCUGGGAGUUGACUGGGGAUCCUCAAAGGUUUAGAUCUUCACAGGACAGCAGGUCACAUAAAUCUUAGGAAUCAGACUAAACAUCAUGUAUCUUGCAGCGGGGGUUCAUACAUAAGUAUGUGAGUUCCCUGGUUUUGAACCCAGGACCUUUUGCGCUGCUAAUGCAAUGCUUUAGCACUGAGCUAUACAGGAGCAUGCAUAUGAAAAAUGUUUUCAACUCUGUAGAUGUGGUGACCCAGACUCUGGAAUUCUGGGAAAUUUUUCUCUAUAGUAAUGAGAUGCACCGAUCCAAGAAACAUAGACACGAUCUACAGUAUGUGUAUUGUGCUUCUGCAUUUAAAUAAUUCAUCACUCAAAUAAU